rfam:Gossypium arboreum cultivar AKA8401 contig_42757_3, whole genome shotgun sequence.
UAUUCAAAAUUUUAUCCAUUUUUACUGUUAAAAACUGGUAUAACUGAUAAAAUAAUUAGAUCAUUAUACAUGAUAUGUCACAUGUAACUCAUGCUGACAUAUAAGAACUAAUUUUUAACAUUGAAAAUAGAUAAAAUUUUUAAAA